UAACUUUCGGUUUCUUCACAGUGGCUC
rnacentral:piRNA from 1 species